GUUUAUUUACUACCACCAUCUUUCUAUGUAAAAAUUACUUGUAGGCUUGUCACUCUAGUCCAGUAACAUGGCAAAAAUUUCAGGAACAGUUAAAAAUCAUACCGCUUAAUUUAUUUUUGCCUGCUUGUUCCUCUUCUUUCAUUUUUUUCCUUUUUAUUUCUAGGAGUUCUGCAUCAAACUUUGCUUUCCAGUUUAGGAAAUUCUCAAUGGUAACAGGAGUGCCGUGAAAACGUUGCUGAAAAAUAAACCAAACA